rnacentral:lncRNA from 1 species
CUCUACCCCAACCCCCACCCCACCCCCACCUAAUAUGGAUAGAUAUAGAGAGAGAAAGUUCAUCUUCUCUCUUCUUUUUUGAAGAAACCCUAUUUAGGGUUGCAGAAAAUGAAGAGCUGAGGCCCUUGUUCAUACUUUUCCACAGCUUUCUUGAACUGCAUAUAAUUGUAUGGACAAAAACCCAUUUGCAGUUCAAUAAAGCUGUGGGAAGAUAUGGAGAGGGUCAUGAGGGAAUUUUCAUUUUCAGGCUCAGAUUUUCAGUAGGUGCAACUACAGAAUGGUAUUUUCAGACAACAUAGUUUUCUGGUUAUGAAUCUUCAUAUUGAUUUCAUUUUUAUGCUAUAUUCGUGUAGAUUUAGCUUUUCACAUUCAUGACCAGUUUUCUGCUGUUGAAUCUUCGUUUCUGUGUAACAAUUCGUGCAGAUUUAUUUUUUUACUUGCAUGAUUGUGUAAUUGUUUGCAGAUCUACUGACAACCUUUUCGAAAUUACAGUGUGUCGUACGGUGAAAAGAAAGAAACAUUCAGUUUUGGCUUUUUUGUUUUGGCAGUGUGCAGAUGCCUUUUGUUCAUGUUAUUUUGCAGAUUCAAUGAAUCUUUUUUUUUUUUUUUUCAAAAAAAUAAAUUUGUCCUUCAAUUUUCAUCAUCCUUAAUUCAUAGCGUUUCUACACACACCACACACAGUCAAAAUUGCGAUAUUAUGAUAUCCUGUAUUCAGAUCUAAUAAAUAUAUGAGUACAUAUACAAUCCAAGAAAGGAUUCGUGUAAUAGCCAUGAUUUGUGGGAGUAACAAGUUUCAACAAUUUCUUGAAAGCCGCAGCAUUAUCGAAUUUUCAGGCAGCCACUGAUUUUCCCUUUGUUUUACUUUCUGAUAUAUUUAUAAAGUUUUUAGCAUCCUUCAAAACAUAUUUUCUAUCUCUAUCACUAUCUCUAUUUUCAGUUUUUAUUUCCAGUAUAAGUAAAAGAUUAAGAGUAAGUUUUCAUGUACCUCACUAUGUUUUGUAUAUAUAUUUGAUUUCUUUUAUCAGGAUCUCACUUUAUUUCCAAACCAUCUAUGUGUAUUUCUUUAUUUUUCAUGUUUCAAAGGGUCUCUGUGAGUAAUUCUGUAUGAUUUUUUCAUACUUAAAACUAUAGAUUGCAUCAAAUUGAAGUCCAAUAAUUUGGAGUUACAAAAUGUUCUAUGGACCACAGGUUUAAUUGCAUUACCAUUCUCAUAUCAACACAUGUUCCUCCCCCACAAGCCUAAUUUAGACAAAAUUAAAGCCAUUUAUAUAAAUUAGGUAAAGUAUGUCUUGGAAAGAUGAUGCACAAAAGUUGUCAGCAGAUUUCACCUUGGAAAAGGAAAAACAGUCAAAAUUUUUGCAGAAGAAAUCUAAGGCUUCCCACCCACUAUGGUAGAAAAGAAACAUUGAAUUAGCUUAAUCAGAUUUUUAGAGUUUAUUGUUUCUCGAUGAAGCAUCUUCAUUAGGAUUGUGUGUCCUUUCUUUUUCAAAUCUAGAACAUUUCCCAAAUAUAUGGACCAACGCCACUGGUAAGUGUAUCGACCCAAUUUGUAAAUUGAAAUCCCAAUCAACAAACACAAUGUAAGGUCUUUUCUCAACCACUUUGUAAUAAUUAUGAAAGAAGAGUGUAACGCUUGAUAUUGUAUAAUGUAUACCCUAUGCAGAAGUUGCUUGGCCUAAAUUUAGAGCCAGUCUGGAAUACUAAUAUUUAAUAAAAACGGAAAACAUGAAUUAUACAUCAGUACACCUACUAAUCUCCAUGAUUAGUUAACUUGUGUUGUUCCAGCAGAUGCUGAAUUAUUUGUUAACAGAUUAACCUUAAAAAAUUUGCACAUGCAAACUUAGCUGGAUUUACUUUCUCCUAACUGCGCCGAUUAUCUAUAUAUGAUCUGUCGGGGUUCUGCAUUGUGUCUGAUUGCAGUAAGCUUUCGUUUUUUUUUUUUUUUUUUGCUUUAAUAUUCUUUAUAUAUAAGUAAAUUGUCUUCUUUAUCGCCCGAAAAUUUUGUAAUGUACCUUUCUCUUUUUCGAGUUAAGAUUCUUGAAUAAAAUUUGAAGAAAGUUUACUUCUUCUUGCAUUGAGAUUCUUUACAUAAUUUGCAGUAUCUUUCUUCUCUACUGCUAUAGAAUAAAUGCCUUACUCUGAGGCAUGUUUUCUUCUUUUUGUUGUGGUAUAUUUAGUUAGUAUACUUGUGUUCUCCAGCAGUGUCCAAUGAACCAAACGGAGUGAAAACUGAUUUGUGUAAUCGACACUGAAUUUAGUGAGACCGAAGUUUAGAUCGUUGUUUGUUAUUGAUUGGACGGCCAAUAUCUUGAUUUUCGACUGAAGAAUUGAUCAUUUGUUCAAGUCAAAAAGAUGGGCCUUUGUUUCCCCGAUGGAUUUCUUUUAAGAAAAAAAUAGAGUAAGGUCUUUACCGAUCUAUUCUAUGAAAAUUCUUCAAUUGUGACAACAGCCGAUAAGCAAGCAGCUUGUAUUCGUAUAAUAAUAAGAAUGCGGUGCUUCAUGCUUUUAGGAAAGUGAGGCAGUACAGUUAUUGGAGUUAUAGAUUGUUUGCUUUUGGCUAUAAAGAUAGAGCUGUCAAUUUAUGGUGGAAAAAUAAGUAAAAGUAGAAAUAAUUAAAAAGAUUAGAAAACAGAAUAAGUUUGAUUGAACAAGCAAAAUCUUCUUCUUGAUAUGGCUGUCUUUGUAUUAUUCAAAUCAAUUAUUAUAUUAGGUAUUAUUAUUAUAAGAUGAUACACAAUGGAGCUUGUUAUAAUUUAGUGCUCCAAUCUGCAAUAAAUUAAAUUUCAUACCACUUUAAUGUCUUGAUGCAUUUAUAUUCAUGCAGAUGACAGAUGUUUUAUGCUUUCAAUUUCUGAAUUUCAAAGGGUAUUGACGAAAGCAUUUCAUUAGAAAUUGCCUACUUGAUAACUUGAUAGCCAAAAUUCAAAACACGAAAGAUAGAUCUGUUGCAGGUUUUGCAUAUUCUAUAUUAUAGGGAGAUAAUUUUCUCUCGAUUUCUACCCGUAAUUUACUAGUUAAUACUUGAUUUAUCGUUCCUCAAUAUUCCAUGUUAAACGGUAAGUGAAAAAGGAGCUUCAAAGAUGGAUUCUCUCCGUUGAAAUCCAUGAAUUCUGUAACUAAAGCCAUUUUAUCCAGUAGUGCAAAAGGGAUGCAGAUUUAAUUAAUUUUGUCUUUUUUGUAUCGGACAAACAGAAUUCUAUGCGCCGAUGGGCCAGUUUUCACAUCAAAUGUAUGGUAGGCUCAUAGAUGAAAUUUCUUGCAAUAAUUUCUUGAUUACAAGUUGAGGGAUGAGUACAUGCCAAUAGUGACAU